rnacentral:misc_RNA from 1 species
GAUGAAGAACGUAGCGAAAUGCGAUACUUGGUGUGAAUUGCAGAAUCCCGUGAACCAUCGAGUCUUUGAACGCAAGUUGCGCCCGAAGCCAUUAGGCCGAGGGCACGCCUGCCUGGGCGUCACACGUCGUUGCCCCCCCAUCUACUCCUUCGGGAUUGCGGGGGGCGGAUGAUGGCCUCCCGUGCGCCUCGCCGCGCGGUUGGCAUAAAUGCCAAGUCCUCGGCGACGCACGCCACGACAAUCGGUGGUUGCGAAACCUCGGUUGCCCGUCGUGUGCGGUCGUCGCGCAUCGAGGGCUCGAAAAAAUUGCCGGGUUCCGGCUCGGCUUUCAACGCGACCCCAGGUCAGGCGGGGUUACCCGCUGAAUUUAAGCAUAUCAAUAAGCGGGAGGA